UACGGGGGGGGCAAGCGUUGUUCGGAAUUACUGGGCGUAAAGGGCGCGUAGGCGGCCUGCUAAGUCGGACGUGAAAUCCCUCGGCUUAACCGGGGAACUGCGUCUGAUACUGGAUGGCUGGAGUUUGGGAGAGGGAUGCGGAAUUCCAGGUGUAGCGGUGAAAUGCGUAGAUAUCUGGAGGAACACCGGUGGCGAAGGCGGCAUCCUGGACCAAUACUGACGCUGAGGAGCGAAAGCCAGGGGAGCAAACGGG
rnacentral:rRNA from 1 species